GAGGAUCAUGAUGAAAACCACCCCGGGGCUUUUCACAAGCUGCACUGGAGUCGACGGUGGAGAAGUUACAGACACGCAGUGUGUGUGUCACCUGCGGGCCGCUAAUUAGAGCGCCGCUGACAGCCCAGAGAUGGGGAGCUGGAGAGGCUGGGCGCGGGAGAGAGCCCAGGUGGGCUCCUGUGAGUUUAGGCCUGAGUGCUGCAGCGGAGCCAGCAAGAGCUCGGAAUCACCCAGCUUUGUGGAUCUGCCCUCCCCUUUGCCGUCCUCAGUCCAGCUCAGCCCUCGCCUCCUGGAGGAACCCAGCCCAGCUCGUC
rnacentral:lncRNA from 1 species